UCCAAACGGCUAGCUCGGAUGUGGAAGUGGAAUCGGCCCCUUUUAGUCGGGAAUUCCAUGGGAAAUUCAUUUGACAGUGAUGAUGAUGAUGAGAUUAAUUCAGCUUGUUGUGAUCCUCCUGGACAUCCAAGUGUUUUCGACAUUGAUGAAGAUUUUGUCACUCUCUCUCUCUUGGACCAAACCAAGAAAUGAAUCAGAUGGUUUUAAGAAGAUUAUAGGAUAUGUCAUAGAAUACGAAGACCCCACCACUGGAGGCAGGCUAAUGACUACCCAGUAGAUGAGUGUGUUUAUGAGGUGUAGGGAUUAAAAAAGGACAAGGAAUACAACUUCCACAUACGGGCCAAGAAUCUUGAAGGUUUUAGUGAGUCUAGUGAUGUGAUUGGUCCCAUAACUCCCAAGCCCAAAUACACCAAGGUUUUGCCACCUGGUGUACCAGAGGCUGUCAACAAUUCUAUAACUUAUCUGAAAUGGGAACCACCUAAACAUAAUGGUGGCUGUAAAA